CUACGGGUGGCUGCAGUGGGGAAUAUUGGACAAUGGGGGAAACCCUGAUCCAGCAAUGCCGCGUGUGUGAAGAAGGCCUGCGGGUUGUAAAGCACUUUCGGUUGGGAGGACUGCUUCUAGCACUAAUAUUGUUGGAAGUUGACGUUACCUUCAGAAGAAGCACCGGCUAACUCCGUGCCAGCAGCCGCGGUAAUACGGAGGGUGCAGGCGUUAAUCGGAAUUACUGGGCGUAAAGCGCGCGUAGGCGGCUAGAUCAGUCGGGUGUGAAAGCCCCGGGCUUAACCUGGGAACUGCAUCCGAUACUGUCUAGCUUGAGUACAGGAGAGGAGAGUGGAAUUCCACAUGUAGCGGUGAAAUGCGUAGAUAUGUGGAGGAACACCAAUGGCGAAGGCAGCUCUCUGGCCUGAUACUGACGCUGAGGUGCGGAAGCGUGGGGAGCAAACAGGAUUAGAUACCCCGGUAGUC
rnacentral:rRNA from 1 species